GUGGGGAAUCUUGCGCAAUGGGCGAAAGCCUGACGCAGCCAUGCCGCGUGGAUGAUGAAGGUCUUAGGAUUGUAAAAUCCUUUCACCGGUGAAGAUAAUGACUGUAGCCGGAGAAGAAGCCCCGGCUAACUUCGUGCCAGCAGCCGCGGUAAUACGAAGGGGGCUAGCGUUGCUCGGAUUUACUGUGCGUAAAGGGCGCGUAGGCGGACAUUUAAGUCAGGGGUGAAAUCCCGGGGCUCAACCUCGGAACUGCCUUUGAUACUGGGUGUCUUGAGUAUGAGAGAGGUGUGUGGAACUCCGAGUGUAGAGGUGAAAUUCGUAGAUAUUCGGAAGAACACCAGUGGCGAAGGCGACACACUGGCUCAUUACUGACGCUGAGGCGCGAAAGCGUGGGGAGCAAACAGGAUUAGAAACCCUGGUAGUCC
rnacentral:rRNA from 1 species